GGGCACCCAGACCCCAGCUUCGGCAAUUUGCAACUGCCGCUGGGUCGGGUCCUCCUGCGGCCCCCGGGACCCCGCAUGGCAAUUCUCGAGGGCCGGUCACUCGCCGCCUCCGGGCUGGGAAGGUUUGCGAAAAGCGGGAAAGCUGGGAGCUCCGAGCUCCCUCUUGGCCUCGCCACACCCAGGACCUACCCGUACCGCGAUUCCCCCACGGAAACGACCGAACUGAAACGAGGAUUGUUCUCUGGGUGCAAUGGCUUGAAUGCUUCAGAUGACAAGUUAAUGGAUUGUCUCAGUAUUGAAAGAAAAUAAUUAAGAUCAGAUCUUAGGGCUUCCCUGGUGGUGCAGUGGUUAAGAAUAUGCCUGACAAUGCAGGGGACAUGGGUUCGAGCCCUGGUCCGGAAAGAUCCCACAUGCUGCGAAGCAACUAAACCCGUGUACCACAACUACUGAGCCUGCGCUCUAGAGCCCGUGAGCCACAACUAUUAAAUCUGCAUGCCACAACUACUGAAACCCAUGGGCCUAGAGCCUGUGCUCCACAACAAGAGAAGUCACCGCAAUGAGAAGCCCGUGCACCACAAAGAAGAGUAGCCCCUGCUCGCUGCAACUAGAGAAAGCCCGCGCGCAGCAACAAAGACCCAACACAGCCAAA